AGGGAGAUAAUGCUGAGUCCUCUGUGACAAGCUAAUAUAUCAUUGAGCAGAGAUGGGAGAAGGCAAAAAGAUGCUCUUCAUGUCGGCAUUCAGGCCGACUGAUGCUACAAGGGACUGAGAAAAUAACUUGCAAGUUCAACUGCUGUGGACAGCAGAGUUAUGAUGUAGAAUGGAACUUCAAGAAUGGAUGUCCAGUAUUCAUCUUUGAAAGGAAUAUUACUGGCUUGCCAAAUUAGAGAAGAUAUUGAUAUUAUUGGAGGAGCAGCUUCCUGAGAGAGGAUAAUCCAGUGAUACAGUAGAUGAUUGUUAUGUAAGUGAAAUUUUGAAUUUACUUACACACAUACAUAUUGAGGUAUAAUUGUAAUAGCAAUCAAGAAUUCCACAUCAAAGUUAUUUCCUACUUGUCAUGAGAAAACUGUUUCAAAAAGGAUAAGAUAAAAAGAUAAACUGUUUCAGACAGUUUAUUUUUUAGAAGAACAAAAUUUGUGGAAAAUGUUCUGCUUUCUGAUGGAGGGGUUGGACAUGGAAAUAAGAAAAGAUCUAAGGUUUUAAUGGGUGUUAAGAGGAAAACAUGCUUGUGCAGUAUGUUCCUAGUCCUUUGCACAAUUGUUAAUACAAAUACUUAUGUAUCAAAUAUUCUUUGAAGGACUGUAGCUGAGUUUUGCUGAACUUUGAAACUUGAUGAAGUACAGUGUAGAAACUGGGGGAAGAAAGCUGUUUCUGGUUCUGAGAUUUAUUUUUAUCACUGUGAAUUCCACAUAAAUCUAAUAAGGUCUGUUGAAGGAAACAGUGAUUCUCCUAAAACAUUGCAGUUUUAAAAUAAUAGCAACUGCUCUCUGAAGGUACUACUACUGAGUCUAGAGAAAAAUGUCUUCUUAUUCAAGAUAAUUGAGGUAGUAAAGAUAAUCAUCGUUCUUUGACUGUGAAGUAAUAGGGAAAUUCAAUGACAAAGGAUUGCUAGCAGUCCUUAAAAAUAACUGAAGAUUGAUCUUUGGAUAGAAGCUGUGAAUUGUGUAAAAUUGACUCUGCUAAAUACAUACUAAUUGGCAUUUGAAUUAGAUUUUGUUAAUCUUCUAUUUAAAUAAGUAAUGAUAGAGAGGAGCUCAGAACUAAUUCCUAUUUCUUCCUCUAAGAAAAAGUAGGAGACUUAAUGUCAUAAUCAAAUAUAUUAGCAAGUAGCAUUUAAAAACAUGUUUUCAUACAUAGCAGAAAGUUAGAAAGUGUUACAUGCAAACAAUUCAUCACAAUAAUCUGUGAUUUUUUUUUUCAAGCAUUUCUGAGCAUUAUAUUCUUCUCAUAGGUUUUUUCAUACAGUAGACACAACUAAAAUUUUUACAUUGGGACAGGACAGCUAGAGUUUACUGUAAGAUACACUAAAUAUUGACUUCAGUAACAAGCUCCAGGUUUGAUUCUGAAAUAUAACCACCAAAAUAAAUAAUUGGAAGUGUUGCUUUUUGCAUCUUGCUUUAGUUUUGUAGGAGAAAGAAAUGUCUAUUUGGAAUCCCAGCUGCUUCUUAAAUCUCACUGUUCUUUCUCACCAUGGCAAUAACCAUGUUAGUAGUCUGUUUUCUGUUUUGUUAUGACGUAGCUAUUCCAAAAAUAAGAAGAAUGUCUAGAGUUACUGACCAGAACAAUUAAUAGUAAAAUAUGUUUCAUUUAACACUUAGUGGAGGAAAUAUUUUGCUGCACUAUAGGUUUUUCGGCUUCUACCUUUACUUAUAAAAGUUACAUUGUAUUAAGCACUGCAUUAGAGCUUAUUCAGAAUUCCAACAGGGGUGUCUAUAAAUGGUACUUUACAAAUGGUGCUUUGCACUGGGGACAAAACACUGCUUCUAUCAGGCACUUAGCCCCAUGAGCAUGUAAUAUUUAUUAUCUUGAAAGUGAAAAGUGAUUUGCUUUGUCACAGUUAUACAGAACAUAAAAAAACUGAAGUUCAGAGCAUUCAUGUGUGCAUGUGCAAGGACAUUGGCUAUAAUGAGCUGAGCCUUUGGCCUGCCUGUAGAAUGGCAGACUGAAUCCCUGUGGGUUUGAGCCUUGUUGAUUUCUUGCCUUUAAAGACAAUAUUUUGCAUUGGUUGGUGAUUGCCAACGAACAUAUCAAGGCAGCAGUUCUGAUCUCUUCAUGCAAAGGUGAAAGCAAUUUCCUAACAGUCUGUUUGCAAGAACAGAGAAAGGCCAUUUUAAAAUGGCUUCUCUUUCAUAGUGAAAGAAAUAACAAUACCCUGGGGGGAAGAGAAGGUGGUUGGAAACAGUGCUAAGCUCCUGAGAAAAAAUAGGGAAAAAUAUGCACUUAUAUAUAUUUAUAUAGUACACACUACUCUGAAAUAUACAUACGUGUAUACAUAUCUAUAAAAACGGGCUCAAUGUCAGAGGCAGAUGUUGGUGAUAUGGCAGUAGAGGCUGAA